rnacentral:lncRNA from 1 species
UUGUAGAAUCUGCAAGUGGAUAUUUGGAUACCUCUAACCAUGUCGUUGGAAACGGGAAUAUCUUCAUAUAAAAUAUAGACAGAAGCAUUCUCAGAAACUUCUUUGUGAUGUGUGUCCUCAACUAACAGAGUUCAACCUUUCUUUUGAUUGAGCAGUUUGGAAAACUCUUUUUGUAGAAUCUGUAAGGGGAUAUUUGGAAACCUCUAACGAUUUCUUUGGAAACGGGAAUAUCUUCAUAUAAAAUCUAGACAGAAGCAUUCUCAGAAACUUCAUUGCGAUGAGUGUUCUCAACUAACAGACUUCAACAUUUCUUUUAUACAGCAGUUUGGAAACACUCUUUUUGUAGAAUCUGCUAGUUGAUAUUUGGAUAACUGGGAAGAUUUCUCUGGAAACGAGAAUAUCUUCAUCUAAAAUCUAGACAGAAGCACUGUCAGAAACUACUUUGUGAUGUUUGCAUUCAAGUCACAGAGCUGAACAUUACCUUUCAUAGAGCAGGUUUGAAACUCACUUUCUUUAGUAUCUGGAAGUGAACAUUUCGAGCGCAUUCAGGCCUAUAGUGAAAACGGAAAUAUCUUCCCAUAAACAACAGACAUAGGGAUUCUCAGAAACUUACUUGGGAUGUGUGUCCUCAAGUAACAGAGUUGAACAUUUAUUUUGAUACAGCCAUUUGGAAACACUCUUUUUGUAGUAUCNGCAAGUGGAUAUUUGGAUAACUGUGAAGAUUUCAUUGGAAACUGGAAUACGUUCGUAUAAAAUCUAGACAGAAGGAUUCUCAGAAACUUCUUUGUGAUGUGUGUCCUCAAUUAACAGAGUUGAACGUUUCUUUUGAUACAGCAGUUUGGAAACACUCUUUUUGUAGAAUCUGCAAGUGGAUAUUUGGAUAACUGUGAAGAUUUCAUUGAAACCCGGAAUAUAUUCAUAUAAAAUCUAGACAGAAUCAUUCUCAGAAACUUCUUUGUGAUGUGUGUCCUCAACUAACAGAUUUCAACCUUUCUUUUGAUAGAGCAUUUUGGAAACACGCUUUUUGAAGAAUCUGUAAGUGGAUAUUUGGAUAGCUCUAUCGAUUUCGUUGGAAACGGGAAUAUCUUCAUCUAAAAUCUAGACAGAAGCACUGUCAGAAACUACUUUGUGAUGUAUGCAUUCAAGUCACAGACCUGAACACUCCCUUUCGUAGACCACGUUUGAAACACUCUUUCUGUAGUAUCUGGAAGUGGACAUUUCGAGAGAAUUCAGGCCUAUGGUGGAAACGGAAAUAUCUUCCCAUAAAAACGAGACAGAAGGAUUCUCAGAAACUUAAUUGCAAUGUGUGUCCUCAACUAACAGAGCUGAACCUUUACUUUGAUACAGAUAGCUUGGGGAUUUCAUUGGAAACGGGAAUAUCUUCAUAUAAAAUCUAGACAGAAGCAUUCUCAGAAACAUCUCUGUGAUGUUUGCAUUCAAGUCACAGAGUUGAACAUUCCCUUUCAUAGAGCAGGUUUGAAACACUCUUUUUGUAGUAUCUGGAAGUGCACAUUUGGAGCGCAUUGAGGUGUAUGGUGAAAAAGGAAAUAUCUUCCCGUAAAAACGAGACAGAAGCAUUCUCAGAAACUUGUUUAGGAUGUGUGUACUCAACUAACAGAGUUGAAACUUUCCUUUGAUAGAGCAGAACACUAAAUUGAAGUUUAAAAUAAUUGUAACAAUUGCAUCUUAUAUAUCAGGUGAGAUUUCAUAGUUUGGUUCAAGU